GCAUAUCAAUAAGCGGAGGAAAAGAAACUAACAAGGAUUCCCCUAGUAACUGCGAGUGAAGCGGGAAAAGCUCAAAUUUAAAAUCUGGCAGUGUUUCGCUGUCCGAGUUGUAAUUUAGAGAAGUGUUUUCUGAACUGGACCGUGUACAAGUCUCCUGGAAUGGAGCGUCAUAGAGGGUGAGAAUCCCGUCUUUGACACGGACUACCAGGGCUCUGUGAUACACUCUCAAAGAGUCGAGUUGUUUGGGAAUGCAGCUCAAAAUGGGUGGUGAACUCCAUCUAAAGCUAAAUAUUGGCGAGAGACCGAUAGCGAACAAGUACCGUGAGGGAAAGAUGAAAAGCACUUUGGAAAGAGAGUGAAACAGUACGUGAAAUUGCUGAAAGGGAAACGCUUGAAGUCAGUCGCAUCUGUUAGAAUUCAGCCCUUGUGGUGUACUUUCUAUAUAGAUGGGCCAGCAUCACUUUUGGUUAUUGGAAAAGGGUAGGGGAAAGGUAGCACUCAUUUAUUUGGGUGUGUUAUAGUCCUCUAUUAAAUACAGUAGCUAGGAGUGAGGAAUGCCUUUGUAGGAUGCUGGCGUAAUGGCUUUAAACGACCCGUCUUGAAACACGGACCAAGGAGUCUAACAUGCCCGCAAGUGUUUGGGUGGAAAACCCAUGCGCGUAAUGAAAGUGAAAGUUAGGAAGGCUGUCAUGGCCUGCACUGACACCCGGACCUGAGAUUUAUCGACGGUUCUGCGGUAGAGCGUGUAUGUUGGGACCCGAAAGAUGGUGAACUAUGCCUGAAUAGGGUGAAGCCAGAGGAAACUCUGGUGGAGGCUCGUAGCGAUUCUGACGUGCAAAUCGAUCGUCAAAUUUGGGUAUAGGGGCGAAAGACUAAUCGAACCAUCUAGUAGCUGGUUCCUGCGA
rnacentral:rRNA from 1 species